rnacentral:misc_RNA from 1 species
AAAAGUCGUAACAAGGUAACCGUAGGUGAACCUGCGGUUGGAUCAUUAAUGAAAUAUAUAUGGGGGUAAUAAUUAUUACCCCAUCAUAUUAACCCAUGUGAAUUUGUUAUUGUAUUUAAUGGUUAGGGAGACCUAACCUGUUUAUUGACCUAAUUGAUAUAAUUUAUAGCCUUGAAAUUUAAUUGAUAAAAAUUUAUAAACAACUUUUAACAACGGAUCUCUAGGCUCUCG